UAAUAUAAUUUUUGUCAAGGUCAGCUUCAUAAGCCAUAUCUGCAACUUCUGGAUGAAAAGGGGAGAUAAAGACCGAAACUAAGGGAAAUUAGAGGGAAGAGAGAUUCUUAGCGACUGCAUUUGCCUCCAGACUUGUCAGACACAGUGAGCCGCUCAAGCAAACAGGAUCUGGCAGAAUCCACCAAACUGCUGAGCUCAGGAUGUGGUGCUAUGGCCAUAGGCAAGAAGCACCUGGACUUCUAGUGAUUUCUACUUAGCAGUUCACUCAGAUUUAUAUGACACUCUAAUUAUGACUGUUAAUGACUUAUGAAAAUAUUUUUCUUAAUGAUUUGACCCAGCAGUCCUUAAAAAUAUACAUUGUAAAAUGGUGCCUCGUUUUCUCAUCCUGAUUUCUUUGAAGACAUUUGUUUGUUUGCUUUUUUACAGAACAUCUGCAACACAGGUUUUGUUACAUUAAAAAAAAAUGCUGCAUUGCAUUGCUAUUCUGGAAAUGUACAGUAUUUUGUUCUUCUCAGAAAAAAAAUCAAAAUUAUUUUUAUUUUUAAAGUUCAAGAUGCUUUACAAAACAAUGCCAAAUGUGUUGUUUUUCACAAGCUAAAUGUGUCUGUUUAACAUGAUUGUAUUAAACAUUGAUUAUAAAUGUAAAAUAUAAAUUAGACAGUACUGUGAACAUUAGUAAAUGAGAUUAAGGAAUUCAUUAUCACAUUUUAUUUUAAAGCCAAAUUUAACAAUUAUUAUUGUUUGAAAAAAUAAUUUUAUACAUCUGAAAAUAUCAUUAUUGUCAAAAUCAAAAGUAGAUAUAACAUUAUUUUACAGAGUACAUAAACAAUGCAUUUAAAAAUAUAUUGUAUUAUUUCAUGUGUUCUACUGUGUCAAUAAUUAAAUUGAUAAAGAAAGAAUUUUUCCAUAAUAAGAAUAUAUUAUAGAUAAUUAGUUUGCCGUAUGGGUUAAUAAAUGUAUUAAAAUG